ensembl:snRNA U4 U4 spliceosomal RNA
AGUUUUGCGCAGUGGCAGUAUCACAGCCAAUGAGGUUUAUCCAAGGCGCGAUUAUUGGUAAUUGAAAACUAAAAUAGUACAACACUUAAAAGAGGGGGUAUAUUCUCUCAAAAAACUAGAAUAUUACUUAAGCAU